rnacentral:rRNA from 1 species
AUGAACGCUGGCGGCGUGCCUAAUACAUGCAAGUCGAGCGAACAGAUAAGGAGCUUGCUCCUUUGACGUUAGCGGCGGACGGGUGAGUAACACGUGGGUAACCUACCUAUAAGACUGGGAUAACUUCGGGAAACCGGAGCUAAUACCGGAUAACAUUUGGAACCGCAUGGUUCUAAAGUGAAAGAUGGUUUUGCUAUCACUUAUAGAUGGACCCGCGCCGUAUUAGCUAGUUGGUAAGGUAACGGCUUACCAAGGCAACGAUACGUAGCCGACCUGAGAGGGUGAUCGGCCACACUGGAACUGAGACACGGUCCAGACUCCUACGGGAGGCAGCAGUAGGGAAUCUUCCGCAAAGGGCGAAAGCCUGACGGAGCAACGCCGCGUGAGUGAUGAAGGGUUUCGGCUCGUAAAACUCUGUUAUUAGGGAAGAACAAAUGUGUAAGUAACUGUGCACGUCUUGACGGUACCUAAUCAGAAAGCCACGGCUAACUACGUG